rnacentral:rRNA from 1 species
GUUUUCCUACGGGACGCAGCAGUGGGGAAUAUUGCACAAUGGGCGCAAGCCUGAUGCAGCGAUGCCGCGUGAGGGAAGAAGGUUUUCGGAUUGUAAACCUCUGUGGAGGGGGACGAUAAUGACGGUACCCCUUUAGGAAGCCACGGCUAACUACGUGCCAGCAGCCGCGGUAAUACGUAGGUGGCGAGCGUUGUCCGGAAUUACUGGGUGUAAAGGGAGUGUAGGCGGGAAAGCAAGUCAGAAGUGAAAACUAUGGGCUUAACCCAUAGCCUGCUUUUGAAACUGUCUUUCUUGGUUGAAGUAGG